AAUCAGUGCUAGGGAGCGUUUGACGGUGCGGACGCGCGGACCGACGUUCCCGAUGAGGUAGCCGUGGUGAGAGGGGAUCGUUCAGUGGCGUGCCCCCGCGAAUCGAGGCCGGCGACCAUCGCGAGAGGGUCGAUGGAGGAUCAUCGGCGGCGCGCCCUCGCUAAUCGACGCAUCCAAGGUGGGCGGCCGUCGUGCGAGGCUCGGUGAAGGAGUAUCCGGCGGCGUCGCUCUAGGAUUCGACGCAUCCGAGUACUGUGGCCCGUCGGGGACGAGUCGUGGACGAACAUCGGCGGCGUGGUUCUGUGUCAAGGCGGAUGUGUUCGUCUGUCAAUCUUUUUGUGCUGGGUCACCUUCUCGAGGAUUGUCAAGAGGAAAUCGAUGGAGGACUUCUCCGGCAUGCCAUACAACAUGAUUGUUGCUCAGCUGCCUCUUACCAACAUGGUUGCAGCAAGGAGAGGCCUGGUUGAAGCGUAAUUCUUGUCGAUUGCUUGGGCCAAAUUUUUAUCUACGGGUUGCUUGAAAGCGAUGUGUUUUGUUACAUUAAAAGGA